GGGAUAACACUUGGAAACAGGUGCUAAUACCGCAUAACCAUAGUUACCGCAUGGUAACUAUGUAAAAGGUGGCUAUGCUACCGCUUUUGGAUGGGCCCGCGGCGCAUUAGCUAGUUGGUGGGGUAAAGGCUUACCAAGGCAAUGAUGCGUAGCCGAACUGAGAGGUUGAUCGGCCACAUUGGGACUGAGACACGGCCCAAACUCCUACGGGAGGCAGCAGUAGGGAAUCUUCCACAAUGGGCGAAAGCCUGAUGGAGCAACGCCGCGUGGGUGAAGAAGGUCUUCGGAUCGUAAAACCCUGUUGUUAGAGAAGAAAGUGCGUGAGAGUAACUGUUCACGUUUCGACGGUAUCUAACCAGAAAGCCACGGCUAACUACGUGCCAGCAGCCGCGGUAAUACGUAGGUGGCAAGCGUUAUCCGGAUUUAUUGGGCGUAAAGGGAACGCAGGCGGUCUUUUAAGUCUGAUGUGAAAGCCUUCGGCUUAACCGGAGUAGUGCAUUGGAAACUGGGAGACUUGAGUGCAGAAGAGGAGAGUGGAACUCCAUGUGUAGCGGUGAAAUGCGUAGAUAUAUGGAAGAACACCAGUGGCGAAAGCGGCUCUCUGGUCUGUAACUGACGCUGAGGUUCGAAAGCGUGGGUAGCAAACAGGAUUAGAUACCUUGGUAGUCCACGCCGUAAAC
rnacentral:rRNA from 1 species